UGGGGAAUAUUGCGCAAUGGGCGAAAGCCUGACGCAGCGACGCCGCGUGAGGGAUGAAGGUUUUCGGAUCGUAAACCUCUGUCAGAAGGGAAGAAACUACGUUGUGCUAAUCAGCAGCGUACUGACGGUACCUUCAAAGGAAGCACCGGCUAACUCCGUGCCAGCAGCCGCGGUAAUACGGAGGGUGCAAGCGUUAAUCGGAAUUACUGGGCGUAAAGCGCACGUAGGCUGUAGUGUAAGUCAGGGGUGAAAUCCCACGGCUCAACCGUGGAACUGCCUUUGAUACUGCACAACUUGAAUCCGGGAGAGGGUGGCGGAAUUCCAGGUGUAGGAGUGAAAUCCGUAGAUAUCUGGAGGAACAUCAGUGGCGAAGGCGGCCACCUGGACCGGCAUUGACGCUGAGGUGCGAAAGCGUGGGGAGCAAACA
rnacentral:rRNA from 1 species